CUUGGAGGCAAUGCAACUGAUAGGCUUAGUAAGCUCUGAACCAUCCAUGCCAAACUCCAUCUCUGAAUCACAAACCUUGAGA
rnacentral:sRNA from 1 species